CGGGCUCUGCUGUGGCCUAGGUCCAAGUGGAAGGGCAGCAAUCGAAGGAGCCGGGCCUAAGUUAGGGGAGGAGUGUGCUGGGCGUCCAGCCUCGCGCUCCCAGCAUGGAGUGGACCCUGUGGUUCUGGCUUGGGGGAGCUGCUGCCUUCCACAUUUCCAUGGACCCUUCUCCGGUGCUGGUCUCCCUAGGGUCAGAUGUGCUCCUGCAGUGCAUUUUCCCUGCAGUGGAUAUGGAUAUGCCAACUCCCACUGUGUCCUGGCACCAUGGCCAGUGGCGCUUGGCAGAAUAUGAUGGGAUCUUGGUGACCCAGCGUCCAGGCACAGAGCUGCCAGAAAGUGCAGAGGGCCUUCGGAAGGGUAAUGCUUCGCUUCUGCUCCGUCGUGUGGCUAUGGCAGAUCUGGGCUCUUACUACUGUACUGUGACAGUUGGGAAACAGCAGGCAGAAGCCGGAGUCCUUCUGGAGAUUUCAGCCAAACUUCUGGAGAGAGUUGGCCGUGAUGAUCAGCUGCUUUCCAAUAUCCAUCCUGCACCUGUUACAGCUUAACUGAAAUGGCUUCUUUUUCUUCAGAUGUAAUGUCUUUGUUUCAGUCUUCAACCUCUCAUAGUCUUCCCUCUAGUUUUUGACAUUUUGGACUCAUUCUUUUCCUUCUGGAUUUGUUCUGAUCUUUUUUUUCUUGGCUUUAAUGACACCACACUUUCCUGGUUCUCCUACUUUUCUAACCAUUCUUCUUAUUUCUUUCACUUAUUCCUGUUCUUUCUCCUACCUAUUUAAUGAAGGCAUUUCCCAAGACUGUUCCUGGCCUUCUCUUAUCCCAAAGUGAUUUCAUCCAAUGUUACUACUUUAACUGGCACAUUGAAAGGGGUUCGGAUGAUGACAUCAAAAUCUACAUCUGUCUUUUGGAUGCUCGGACCUCAAACUCAACAUAACUAAAAACACAGUUAUUAUCUUACCUAUAAAAUUUGUUCCUCCUGACUUCCCUAGCUAUUGAUGACACUUACCCAUUACAAUUAAUCAGUUACAAAAUCCUAUAGAUUUUAUCUUGGAAAUAGUUUUCCUGUCUGCCCCCACCCCCAAUGCCUGUUUUUCAUUUUUUUUUUUAUUGCUACCCUCUUAUUCUAGGCCCUUCGCAUUUCUCUUCUAGACUUACAAAAGCCUCCUAACCCCCUUGGCCUCGCUUCAGUCCAUCCUCCUCAUCCAUUGUGACCUGGUCCUGAUGUAGUGUCUGUCAUUCCAUUUCCCUGGUUCCUUUUGGCCUGUUUCAAUUGGCAGCAAAGUCUCAGUUCUUUAGACGAGUACUCAAAUCUUCCACAGUGGGGCUUCAAGCUCCCUUUUGCUUCUGACCAAAGAUGGUCUACUUAUCACUGCCAAUACAAAUUAUGUCCUGUAACUUUGUUGCUUUUGCUUAUUCCCUUCCCUUUCCAUCUUUCAUUGAAAAUCUACCUGUUCUUCAAAGCCCAGCUCAACAUUUUAUUCACUGUAUCUUUGUGUCUUUUCUAGCACAUAGUGCAGGGUUUUGCCCCACACUAGGUACUUACUAAGAAAGAGAGGCAUAAAAAAAGAUUUCUUUCCCUUUUUGGGAAAAUUAUAAUGAGGUCGUUUGGUGAGUAGGAUCAUAGACUUAGAGCUCAAAAGGAUUUUGGAAGUUGUAGAGUCUUAACACCUCAUUUAACUGAGAAGGAAAUGGAAACGUAGAGCUGUUAAGUGGUAAGUCCACUGUCCCACAGGCAGUAAAGUCAGGAGCCGAGUCUGGGUAUUUGAACCCAGACGCUCUGACUCUCUGCUUCAGGUAAUCAUUGUCCUUAGGAGCUAGGAAGGGCUACAGAGGGGAUAGGUCUGUCCUGUCAGCUGCCCUCAGUGUUUGUAGACCUCUUUAUUUUGUCCUAAAUACAUUGUCCACAUUUCCCCCUUUCUCAUGCUCUCAGCUACCUUUUUAGUUCUUCUGAUUAUAUAAAAUCAGAAGACUCUUUAGUAGCUUGGCCCUGAUUAAUGUAAUCGAAGAAAAGUUGGUAUAUAAUAAAAAAUUAUCUUAUAAUGUGAUUUUCCA
ensembl:lncRNA